CAAGCCUUCUGGCGAUCUGUUGGUAACAAGCCUGUCGGGGGUUGAAAACUUUCGUCUUGGCAAAAAACUUUUUUAAAGAGGGUUUUCUCUUUAAAAUCUCUCCCUGAAAAGGUUUCUUUUAAAAGAGCUUUUGUUUAUGCAGGUCAGAUUGUGCCGGAGAAGGUUUUCCGGUUUACCCCGGAGGGCUUGUAGCUCAGUUGGUUAGAGCGCGCGCUUGAUAAGCGUGAGGUCGGAGGUUCAAGUCCUCCCAGGCCCACCAUUUUAUCAUUUUGUCGUGUUUCUCAUGGUUUAUGAAAUGAAAUAUGAAAUGAGAUAAUGGGCAAAAGGGUGUUAAGAGCGAUAAAGGGUGAGAGAAGUUUUUUAUGCUUGUGCUUCGUAUUAGGUGUUUCGUAUUAGAGUAAACUGGAUAGAUAAGUAGACCAAACUGGAGUAGACUAAACUAGAUAAGAGUGAUCAGAGCGGGUUAGAUUUAAGGCUCUGCUUUUGGGGAGUUUGGGGCUUUUUGAGGCUAGGGAGUUGAGGCUUUUAAAGAAGGCCUCGAAGAUAUGAGAUAUUAAGGGGCCGUAGCUCAGCUGGGAGAGCACCUGCUUUGCAAGCAGGGGGUCGUCGGUUCGAUCCCGUCCGGCUCCACCAUUGAGGUCAUCAUCGCUGUAAAGGAACAGAGUUUGCAAGGGGUUUAUACUUUUUUGCGUGUUCUAUUGAAAUUGUGAAGAGAAGAUAUAUUCAGACAUUCUUGUUUGAAAUUUUUGCGCUUUGAGAUAUCCGUUUUAAGGAAUGGGUUUCUGAGAGAGUGAAGGUGCCUUUGUAGAAGAUUCUUUAAGAAGAUUUUGGAAGGGCUCUGAGAGAAAAUUUUAAAGAAGAAGUGUGUCGCUGAGGGCGCUCAUCCCCUUUGCU
rnacentral:tRNA from 1 species